UGCUCUUUUGACCUGUUGGA
rnacentral:piRNA from 1 species